GGCUCUUCCUCUCUGGUGUGUGUUAUUAUCCAUGACUAUUAACAAGUUUUAGGGUCAAACAUAUAGAACUAUACUUGCCCAAGCAUGUUUUUACACACGAGUUAGACCUUGCAAGGAAUGCCCCUGCCAGGGUUUCGUUAGUUUUCUUGCUCUUUGCGGCAUCCACAACUACAUUAGGGCAAUCAGUGACGGGUUUUGAGUGACUGGAAGGGUAAAGUUGAGGGUUUCUUCAUUGGUCUACCUUUUGGUUUGCAUUACGUUUUCAAGCGUGAAUGGAUUUUGGAGUUUUCCAUUGUUCAGGGACAUGGAUUGAAGACCAAAUGCAUUAGAUGAAUCUGAAAUUUUUACAAGGGUAUACUGUAUUUGAAGCUUGCUAAUGAGGAAUUUGUUUGCCAUUGGUAACGGAUGCAAGAAGUUAAGAAAUCUAAUACUAAGUCGCAAGGGUUUGGAAGCAAUUGCUACCGGAUGCAAGGAACUUACAUAUCUUGAAGUCAAUGGAUGUCACAAUAUUCGAUCUUUGUGGCUAGAAUCCAUUGGAAGAUCUUGCCAGUUUGUAUGUAAAAUAAGGAAUGAAUUAACCAUUCAAUAAAUAGGCAACAUAAGGAAGCAUGAGACACAUGUUUGGCCUCUUUAUAUUUACAUUUGGUCAAGUUUUUCAUUGCUUGCUAUGUGUGUUUCUCUGUUUAUUUUUCGUUUGUGGUGCUAA